rnacentral:rRNA from 1 species
CAGCAGCCGCGGUAAUACGAGGGGGGCAAGCGUUGUUCGGAAUUAUUGGGCGUAAAGGGCGCGUAGGCGGUUUGGCAAGUUUGGUGUGAAAUCUUCGGGCUCAACUCGAAGUCUGCACCGAAAACUGCCGGGCUUGAGUAUGGGAGAGGUGAGUGGAAUUUCCGGUGUAGCGGUGAAAUGCGUAGAUAUCGGAAGGAACACCUGUGGCGAAAGCGGCUCACUGGACCAUUACUGACGCUGAGGCGCGAAAGCUAGGGGAGCAAACAGGAUUAGAUACCCGUGUAGUCCCUGUCUCUUAUAC